rnacentral:rRNA from 1 species
AUGGAACCGGCUAGGGUUCGGCUCGGGGUGGGUAAGGGGAGUGGGGGGGUGGCCGGUUGGGUCCAGUUGGGCUGGCCGGCUGGGCCGUUUGGCCCAAUUUGGCCGGGGGUCAAAAGAAUAAAAGAAAAAACCGCUGCCCGCACGACCUCUCACCCCCUGCUCCUCGACCUCUCGCUCCCUGCUCCUCCUACCGCACCGUUCGCCGCCCCACAACCGCUCGCCGCUUCGCCGCCUUCCGCAGCCGCGUCCCUUCGCCGUCGCCCACCUACUGCCCUUCUCUCCCUGCACUUCUCCACCCUUACGCAGCCGCCGCCAGCGCCUUGUGCCCCAACGCCGCUAUCGCCAUCACCUCCUCCCCAUGGUCCGCGAGCUAGACGCGCUGCCGGGAAGAAUCCACCAUCUACGGCCUUGCGGCGCUCGCCGGGGACACCGCCGCCGCCGUCUCUAUCCUUUCCGGAUGCCUUUGUCUCCUCUCUACAGCGGCCUCCUCAUCUCUUCACGGCUGCUCCAGAGGUCGCCCCCUCGAGCAUCGCGUCCUCUUCCCCACCACCAACUCGCCGCCGCCUCCUCCCUUCGGUUCUCUCCUCGAAGCUCCAUCAAGUGGUCACUGCCGCCUGCUGCCUCUUCUCUCCUGCAGGACGACGCCUCCCCAUCCACCAUCUGCCGCCGCUGAACUGGGUGGCAGUUGCGGCCAUGGGGGACACAAAUGUACACCGCUGUGGCCAGGUUAUUUCAUACGACACAGCCACAGAUGAUGUGCUGUACUGUUUCAGCAUUAUUGUUUCAGCUGUACUGUUUGGACAAAAUUCUGAUUUUUCAACACUUGUUCCAUGUGCGAAUAUUCUGGGAGCACCAACUCCAACUGCUGACAAGAAUGUGUUAGUCAUAGAUAUGGAUAUUGUUGACCAUAAAAAAGAACCUAUCAACAAGAGCCCGAAGAUGUCCAUGAUCGAGGCCGCCCUCACUUCCGCACGAGAUUUAGAUUCGCGGAUAUUGCUUCCUCAUGCAUUCCUCGGCCACUUCAUCUUGUUCGCAGUCGACAAACAUGCACGUCAAGUAUCUAUUUUGGACCCACUAUUUCUGCCCUUAUUCCCAGAGAGAUAUGCGUUAGAAUUUCAGAGGGUUGCAUUCUACCUGAAUGUUGCACUUGAAUUAGCACAACCAGAUUGGAAGUCUGAUACAUUUGCCUAG